CGUUAUCAUGAUCGUUCGCUUUUACUUGAAUUACGGUCGAAGAGAAUUGAGCGGAACGUGGAAUCGCCGCAAAGUAACGUUUUUUCCGUAAAUUUCGUGGAUCCUCGGGGAAUAUAAAUUCAGGUACCUCGACGUUGUAAGAAUCUUCGGCAAAACCCAAACCAAUUUCCGGUGCUACCGUCGCUACGUGACGUACGAAAAUUGGUACCGUCGUCACCGAGGAAAGCUGAGGCUCACCGAGAUCAUAAGCUCGCACGUCCACCUUUAAUCGAGUCAGGAAUAUUUUUUGGCGCAGUGCCGUCGGAAUCUUGAGCAAGAAGGUUUAUGACUACGGUGCCGAUUGGCACGUCGUCAUCAAGAGUAAUUGGCCUCGGUACCAUGGUGAAAACCGGUGGAAUGUCAUUAACGUCCUAACAAAAAUGAAAUAAAAAAAUACAAGGCAGUCCUGGUGUAUCAAGAACGAGGCACGAAAACUCAGCUGAUCGGACUAACAAACAUUUUUUAUUUCGAGCUUCCUCAAUUUACCUGAACAUUGAUAAUGACGCGUGUCGUUGAUCCAGGCAAAUUGCUGGUGUUUUCGAGAGUUCCUAUGAUCAAUAUGUGUUGAUUAUCGCGUUCGUAAUCCAAUCCUCGAAUAGUUUUGAUAACACCGGUUUUGGGAUCGAUGCUAAAGAGGUCGGUAUCGCCUUGUUUGAUCACGUAAGUUAUUUGUUUGACGGUGUCAGGAUCGUCGGCCUAACGCGAAUAAUGUGAAUAAUAAAUAAUAGUAAAAAUAAAUGAAAAAUAAAAAUAAUCGUUAAAUCGAAUAGAAAUGAAAGAUGAAAAUAAGCAACUCACGACGACUUGGAUGACCAUGUAAUCGGGGACAUUUUCUUUGACUUUAGCCUCGUAGCUGCUUUGAUGGAAUAUUGGAACUUCAUCUUCGACGUCUAAAACUUUGACCGUUACGGUCGCGGUGGCUAAUCUGUGAUCAGGUGCCCCAUCUCUUGCGGUUAUGACAAAUUUGUACUCCUGUUACACCCGGGGGAAUAAAUAAAAAUAAAAUCGCGAUAAGAAUAAUCAUGUGAA